rfam:Schistosoma haematobium scaffold409_21, whole genome shotgun sequence.
AUCGUGUUGACGAGUUUUAAAUAAGACGAAACGCGCGUCUUGGAU